CCUGCGGGUUGUAAAGCACUUUUAGUGGGGACAAAAAGCUACGGAUUUAAUACUCUGUGGUCUUGAUUUAACCCAAAGAAAAGGCACCGGCUAAACUCUCGUGC
rnacentral:rRNA from 1 species